GACGAACGCUGGCGGCGUGCCUAAUACAUGCAAGUCGUGCGCAGGAAGCUGACGGAACUCUUCGGAGGGAAGGCAGUGGAAUGAGCGGCGGACGGGUGAGUAACACGUAAGGAACCUGCCUCAAGGAUUGGGAUAACUCCGAGAAAUCGGAGCUAAUACCGGAUAGUUCAACGGACCGCAUGGUCCGCUGAUGAAAGGCGCUCCGGCGUCACCUUGAGAUGGCCUUGCGGUGCAUUAGCUAGUUGGUGGGGUAACGGCCCACCAAGGCGACGAUGCAUAGCCGACCUGAGAGGGUGAUCGGCCACACUGGGACUGAGACACGGCCCAGACUCCUACGGGAGGCAGCAGUAGGGAAUCUUCCACAAUGGACGAAAGUCUGAUGGAGCAACGCCGCGUGAGUGAUGAAGGUUUUCGGAUCGUAAAACUCUGUUGUAAGGGAAGAACACGUACGAGAGGAAAUGCUCGUACCUUGACGGUACCUUACGAGAAAGCCACGGCUAACUACGUGCCAGCCGCCGCCGUAAUAC
rnacentral:rRNA from 1 species